rnacentral:misc_RNA from 1 species
AGGCAGACGUUUCUCUCUCAAAAUUUUGGCGCUUGGUUUUCCCUCUGCUGGGGUCGUUUAAAAUCAACACUGAAAAUCUCCUUAAAAUCCUAACAAAAUCAAUCUAUUCUGCCCAUCAAAACUCCAAUUUUUCCGAUUUCCCCAUUAAAAUUGCUUCUAAUUCGCCAAUUUCUUGCGCUCCAAACGCUCAAUAUCCCGCACUCUCUAGGGGCUAUUGAACGGCGACGAUGAAUCUGACAGAGGGAGCCAUUGCAAAGAUAACCAGCGGAGGGGCAACGGCGGCGGAA